rnacentral:rRNA from 1 species
GUGAGGAAUAUUGCGCAAUGGAGGCAACUCUGACGCAGCCAUGCCGCGUGCAGGAAGAAGGCGCUACGCGUUGUAAACUGCUUUUAACCGGGAAGAAACCCCAGGACGUGUCCUGGGUUGACGGUACCGGAGGAAUAAGCACCGGCUAACUUCGUGCCAGCAGCCGCGGUAAUACGAAGGGUGCAAGCGUUAUCCGGAUUCAUUGGGUUUAAAGGGUGCGUAGGCGGAGCGUUAAGUCAGUGGUGAAAUCCUGCAGCUUAACUGUAGACUUGCAAUUGAUACUGGCGCUCUUGAGUGCGCUUGAAGUGGGCGGAAUGUGCCGUGUAGCGGUGAAAUGCUUAGAUAUGGCACAGAACACCAAUUGCGAAGGCAGCUCACUAAGGCGAUACUGACGCUGAGGCACGAAAGCGUGGGGAUCGAACAGGAUUAGAUACCCGGGUAGUCC